GCAAAGUCGACAGUAAUGUGCAACAAUCAAGAGUUGGCCGAGAUGCAUUUUUUAAUUUCAUGUACAAGAAGAGAUUGCUAAUAAAUGGAGGAAAUUAAACCUUAAAGAGAAGGCUACAUAUGGUUCUGCCUUGGAAGGUUCGAGUGGGCCAAGGAUUAAAAUAUCAACCAUGUAAAUAAUAUAGGGCCUCCAAUUUACGGAUAUUUCGGGGGAUAUAUUAUUAUCGUCUUAGGUAUCGGAAAAAAGAAGAAGACAGAUAUAGGUAUUGAAACACAUAAUUUUGGUAUAAAACUUUCAUUAAUGUUAUGUACAUUA